rnacentral:lncRNA from 1 species
ACCCAAUUCCUGGAGGACAGUGAGGUGAAGGAGGGACAGAGGCUUCCACCUGGAGCUACCCUGAGGCUCUUCCUCCAUAGCCCAAGCCCUCAGGAGUGCUUCAUCCAGAAAACGCAAAACUAGCAGAUGCUGAGGACCACAAGCAAAUGAAGAGAGGAGAAAAACAAACAGCUGUGUACCGGAUACAGAACCUCUUUUUUCUCUCCUUUUUUUUUUCCUCUUGGUUUUUCCCGAGACAGGGUUUCUCUGUGUAGCCUUGAAUGUCCUGGAACUAGCCUUUAGAGAAGGCUGGCCUGGAACUCCCUGAGAUCAGCCUGCCUCUGCCUCCUCCCUGCGGGGAUUAAAAAGCUGGAAAGGGCAGAUGCUGCCUCCUCUGCUGCCAGCUGCCAGCAGCAGGAACAGGGAGCACCUUUGUGUUUGCUUGACACUGGUCCUCAAGAAGCUGGCUCCUGCUGGCCUGGGACUUUUUUUUUUUUUUUUUCCCCUGAGACAGGGUUUCUCUGUAUAGCCCUGGCUGUCCUGGAACUCCCUGAGAUCAGCCUGCCUCUGCCUCCUGAGUGCUGGGAUUCAAAGUGUCCGCCACCACCGCCUGGCAGAGGCUUUUUACAUUUCUAAAUGGCAUUUGUAAAAUGUUGAUGGCCAAGCAUGAUACCUCAUGCCUGAGACGCCAGCUCUCAGGAGGCCCCCGGCAAGUUCAAGGCCAGCUUGCUCUACAUGAUCCAAAGAAGCGUCUUUCUCUGAUUCCUUUUAUCUGGAAGAACUGAGAGGAGACGGGCGAACGGUUGUGAGAAUCUCUUUAAGGGGCAGUCCUGGAAUGAGUGAAGUGCACCGCUGACUCCUGGCCGCCUGUCUCUCCUAUGGCCUGGCAUCUUCACAGAUGCAGAUUUUGAAAAUGCAUUUCUCCUUUAUCUGAGAGCCCCUCCUGCCCCCUCCUCCAGGACCGACACACUAUGCGUGGAACCUGUGAUGCUAGGCCAUCCUUCCUAUGGUUUGACAUAUUGUCUCACCAGUAAAGGGUAGAGCUGGAACCCACCAUGAAAUCCUGGCCCAGCAAAAUACGUGCCCUAGAGAAGAAGGACCACAAACUCAAGGUCACCUGGGGCUACAUACUUAAGAUCCAGUCUCAAAACUCCAAAUCAAACAAAAAUUGCGCUAAUAAUAAAUUGUAGGAAGUAAGAAGAUGACACCAGGUAGCAGGUCUCAGGCAGCCUCUUUCUGGCUUUAGACUCAUGAUGGCUUAGAGUAGUUUUGAACUCCCAGUAUCAUCUUCUAAAUGUGCAUCUCGACAAAAAAAAAA